UACUCUGCAGCCCGGGGGUGCCCAGCCCUGGAGACUCUGGACAGUGAGGACUGGGCAGAAGCUGCUGCUGGCUUCAUCUUCCCCUUGGACCCUGUGGGCUGCGCCACCAGGACUGCAGGGUCACCUCACCAACACCAGGGUCCCAUCCAAGGUUGGCCUUAACAGGAAGAUUGCAGACUGGAACUCUCCCUUACUGGAAAAACUGUCAUCCUCAUCUUCCCAGGACAACCCACACUAGCUCUGCAAAAUGUCACCUGUUGAAACAGACCUACAAGGCACCCCAAGGUGGGUGUCACUGCUGCUCCCACACUUACAAGUGCAGUGCAGUGGGCAAAGGAACAGAACCAGCAGAAGCAGUAAGGACCCCCAUGGAUCAGUUCAGUGCCCAGACCAGCUUACUCUCUUCACUCUGGAUCCUACUGGGGGGGCUGGUGUAACCACCCCACUGACAGGGGCCCUCCUGCCCCCUCAAUAUCUUAUUUUUCCUCCACCAGCGCCAAACCCUGCCCUCCCCAGCUAGGGACAGAAGGGGACUGCUAUGGUGUGUGUAGUUUAACUCGUUUUAUUUAGACUUGAAGGUAACUGCGGCCCAGUGGGACCGUGACCCAGUAGAAACGCAGCAGUACAUCAGGAUUGGGGUGGGAGCAGGUGAGCUGCAGUGGGGUGUGGGGCCCAGGCUGCUCAAGGAAUGGUCAGUUGCUGAGAGAAGGGUUUACGAGAGCUGCCCGCAGUC